GACGAACGCUGGCGGCGUGCUUAACACAUGCAAGUCGAACGGAAAGGCCCUGCUUUUGUGGGGUGCUCGAGUGGCGAACGGGUGAGUAACACGCGAGUAACAUGCACUUGACUUUGGGAUAACUUCAGGAAACUGGGGCUAAUACCGGAUAGGAGCUCCUGCUGCAUGGUGGGGGUUGGAAAGUUUCGGCGGUUGGGGAUGGACUCGCUGCUUAUCAGCUUGUUGGUGGGGUAGGGGCUUCCCAAGGCUGUGACGGGUAGCCGGCCUGAGAGGGUUACCGGCCACAUGGGUACUGAGAGACGGCGCAGACUGCUACGGGACGCAGCAGUGGAGAGCAUGGCGCAAUGGGCGGAAGCCUGUUGCAGCAGCGCCGCGUGCGGGAUGCCGGCCUUCUAGUGGUAAACCGCUGUCGCCUGUGACGAAGCGUGAUUGACGGUAAUGGGUAAGGAAGCACCGGCUAACUACGUG
rnacentral:rRNA from 1 species